rnacentral:rRNA from 1 species
GACGAACGCUGGCGGCGUGCCUAAUACAUGCAAGUCGAACGCAGUGGGGACGGGUGAGUAACACGUGGGUAACCUACCAUCAGAGGGGAUAACACUUGGAAACAGGUGCUAAACAGAUCCUGAUGGAUGGACCCGCGGUGCAUUAGCUAGUGGGUGAGGUAACGGCUCACCAAGGCCACGGGGCAUAGCCGGCCUGCGAGGAUGAUCGGCCACACUGGGAGUGAGACACGGCCCAGACUCCUACGGUAGGCAGCAGUAGGGAAUCUUCGGCAAUGGACGAAAGUCUGACCGAGCAACGCCGCGUGCGUGAAGAAGGUUUUCGGAUCGUAAAACACUGUUGUUAGAGAAGCGGUAUCUGACCAGAAAGCCACGGCUAACUACGUGCCAACAGCCGCGGUAAUAC